GGGACACGUGGUAUCCUGUCUGAAUAUGGGGGGACCAUCCUCCAAGGCUAAAUACUCCUGACUGACCGAUAGUGAACCAGUACCGUGAGGGAAAGGCGAAAAGAACCCCGGCGAGGGGAGUGAAAAAGAACCUGAAACCGUGUACGUACAAGCAGUGGGAGCACAGAGCAAUCUGUGUGACUGCGUACCUUUUGUAUAAUGGGUCAGCGACUUAUAUUCUGUAGCAAGGUUAACCGAAUAGGGGAGCCGAAGGGAAACCGAGUCUUAACUGGGCGUUAAGUUGCAGGGUAUAGACCCGAAACCCGGUGAUCUAGCCAUGGGCAGGUUGAAGGUUGGGUAACACUAACUGGAGGACCGAACCGACUAAUGUUGAAAAAUUAGCGGAUGACUUGUGGCUGGGGGUGAAAGGCCAAUCAAACCGGGAGAUAGCUGGUUCUCCCCGAAAGCUAUUUAGGUAGCGCCUCGUGAAUUCAUCUCCGGGGGUAGAGCACUGUUUCGGCAAGGGGGUCAUCCCGACUUACCAACCCGAUGCAAACUGCGAAUACCGGAGAAUGUUAUCACGGGAGACACACGGCGGGUGCUAACGUCCGUCGUGAAGAGGGAAACAACCCAGACCGCCAGCUAAGGUCCCAAAGUCAUGGUUAAGUGGGAAACGAUGUGGGAAGGCCCAGACAGCCAGGAUGUUGGCUUAGAAGCAGCCAUCAUUUAAAGAAAGCGUAAUAGCUCACUGGUCGAGUCGGCCUGCGCGGAAGAUGUAACGGGGCUAAACCAUGCACCGAAGCUGCGGCAGCGACGCUUAUGCGUUGUUGGGUAGGGGAGCGUUCUGUAAGCCUGUGAAGGUGUGCUGUGAGGCAUGCUGGAGGUAUCAGAAGUGCGAAUGCUGACAUAAGUAACGAUAAAGCGGGUGAAAAGCCCGCUCGCCGGAAGACCAAGGGUUCCUGUCCAACGUUAAUCGGGGCAGGGUGAGUCGACCCCUAAGGCGAGGCCGAAAGGCGUAGUCGAUGGGAAACAGGUUAAUAUUCCUGUACUUGGUGUUACUGCGAAGGGGGGACGGAGAAGGCUAUGUUGGCCGGGCGACGGUUGUCCCGGUUUAAGCGUGUAGGCUGGUUUUCCAGGCAAAUCCGGAAAAUCAAGGCUGAGGCGUGAUGACGAGGCACUACGGUGCUGAAGCAACAAAUGCCCUGCUUCCAGGAAAAGCCUCUAAGCAUCAGGUAACAUCAAAUCGUACCCCAAACCGACACAGGUGGUCAGGUAGAGAAUACCAAGGCGCUUGAGAGAACUCGGGUGAAGGAACUAGGCAAAAUGGUGCCGUAACUUCGGGAGAA
rnacentral:rRNA from 1 species